rnacentral:lncRNA from 1 species
UUGUAUACAUGAACCAAGGAUGGUGAUCCCUUAAACAUUUCUAACAUCAACGUAGGAGCCAUGUCAACAUGGACACGAGCAUGGAAGGGCAAUGGGUCAACGGUAAAUACGGAAGCUAUGCAUGAACUCAGACGCACGAGGUAGCGUUAGUUAAUUGAGCAUGGUGAUGAUUGAAGUUUGAUAUGGUUUUGGUUGUAUGAAAUCGGUUAUUUUAGCUAAGUAGACCGAACGGGACAAUAUAAAGUUGUAAUGAUAUGACAGAUUGAUGUAAUGCUACGGUAUUGUAACCGGGUAAUGGGUAGAAUUGCACAUAAGUGCGCCAACCGAGAAUGGGGACUUAGGUUAAUGGUCAAAAGACUUAGCU